ACGAUAAACGAUAUUUACGGCAAAUCCUUACCAUUAUUACAGAUGAAGCUGUUAGUACUUCUGUUGAUAUUCACUUGUGCUGCCUGGCAACAGUCUGACGCUAUCAGUUUGGGUCGAUGAAUUCCACGUCCAGGUCCCAUUGGUAUACUACCACGCCCAGGUCCCAUUGGUAUACUACCACGCCCAGGUCCCAUUGGUAUACUACCACGUCCAGGUCCCAUUGGUAUACUACCACGUCCAGGUCCCAUUGGAAUACUACCACGCCCAGGUCCCAUUGGUAUACUACCACGCCCAGGUCCCAUUGGUAUACUACCACGUCCAGGUCCCAUUGGUAUACUACCACGUCCAGGUCCCAUUGGUAUACUACCACGCCCAGGUCCCAUUGGAAUAAUCGUAUCCAAAAGAGCAGAGAGAGAUCUUAGGACAGAGCUUGACACAGAUCAGGACGGAUAUCUGGACGAGACAGAGUUAGAACACCACCUCAGUGAGCGAGACAUUAUCGACUUCAUAGCGGCUUUAGAUGAAAACGGUGAUGACCUCCUCUCUGUUGAUGAAUUUAAUGACAAGCAGUGAUAAGAUAAUCAGACUGUGCCCUUUGAAAAACAGAAUGAAGAAGAAAUUCCAAAAACAAUCAGUUGUGUAGAAUAAAACAAAUUUGAGUAAAA